rnacentral:rRNA from 1 species
GACCUGGCGGCAGCUUACACAUGCAGUCGAGCGGAAACGAUGAUAGCUUGCUAUCAGGCGUCGAGCGGCGGACGGGUGAGUAAUACUUAGGAAUCUACCUAGUAGUGGGGGAUAGCUCGGGGAAACUCGAAUUAAUACCGCAUACGACCUACGGGAGAAAGGGGGCAGUUUACUGCUCUCGCUAUUAGAUGAGCCUAAGUCGGAUUAGCUAGAUGGUGGGGUAAAGGCCUACCAUGGCGACGAUCUGUAGCUGGUCUGAGAGGAUGAUCAGCCACACCGGGACUGAGACACGGCCCGGACUCCUACGGGAGGCAGCAGUGGGGAAUAUUGGACAAUGGGGGCAACCCUGAUCCAGCCAUGCCGCGUGUGUGAAGAAGGCCUUUUGGUUGUAAAGCACUUUAAGCAGUGAAGAAGACUCCGUGGUUAAUACCCACGGACGAUGACAUUAGCUGCAGAAUAAGCACCGGCUAACUCUGUGCCAGCAGCCGCGGUAAU